rnacentral:rRNA from 1 species
UAGGGAAUCUUCGGCAAUGGACGAAAGUCUGACCGAGCAACGCCGCGUGAGUGAAGAAGGUUUUCGGAUCGUAAAACUCUGUUGUUAGAGAAGAACAAGGACGUUAGUAACUGAACGUCCCCUGACGGUAUCUAACCAGAAAGCCACGGCUAACUACGUGCAAGCAGCCGCGGUAAUACGUAGGUGGCAAGCGUUGUCCGGAUUUAUUGGGCGUAAAGCGAGCGCAGGCGGUUUCUUAAGUCUGAUGUGAAAGCCCCCGGCUCAACCGGGGAGGGUCAUUUGAAACUGGGAGACUUGAGUGCAGAAGAGGAGAGUGGAAUUCCAUGUGUAGCGGUGAAAUGCGUAGAUAUAUGGAGGAACACCAGUGGCGAAGGCGGCUCUCUGGUCUGUAACUGACGCUGAGGCUCGAAAGCGUGGGGAGCAAACAGG